rnacentral:tRNA from 1 species
AGAGUUGUGGCUCAGUGGCAGAGCGCUUGCCUAGCAUGCAUGGGGCACUGGGUUCGAUCCUCAGCACCACAU